AUAAACCAGAACACGAAGACAUCACUUUGACAUGCAGGUGAUUAGGCUGCUUCCGCAUCACACCAUCUAUACUCCGAAAGAUGCUGUGAUAUGACCGUUGCGAAGAGGCGUAGCGACCAUCUAUGUGAUUAUUAUUAUUAUUAUGUCCAUUAUCACUGAUUAUCUUUUUGUACAUGUUUCAUUACUUGAUUUAAGAUUUUAAUAAACAAGCACAUAAACGG